rnacentral:misc_RNA from 1 species
AAUGUAUUUGAGAGAAAUUUCUGUGGUUUUCAUAUAUAAAAUUUUACGUACAUGCUCCUAUUUACAUACAAGUGGUUUAUCCUCACAAAAAAAUAAGAUAAAUAGAAAAUAAUAGUACAACAAGAAAUAGAAAAGAACAAUCAAAUAAGAUCCUAAUAAUCUGCUACUACAACAAAUCAGGGAUUACAACAAUAAGAAUGGAAAGAUUGAUGCCUCAAUUACGUGAAUAUUAUUUUAUGUUUGCUAUCAUGGGAGAUUUAAAGGAUGAAAUUAGGCUGAUUGUUGGGAUGAUGAAGCCAGUUUCCUUAUCACAGGCUAUUGAGGUAGCUAGGCUUCAAGAGUAAGUAUUGGAAGUCAGUAAAAAGCCUAAG